rnacentral:rRNA from 1 species
CCUAAACAUGCAAGUCGAGCGGAAACGACACUAACAAUCCUUCGGGUGCGUUAAUGGGCGUCGAGCGGCGGACGGGUGAGUAAUGCCUAGGAAAUUGCCUUGAUGUGGGGGAUAACCAUUGGAAACGAUGGCUAAUACCGCAUAAUGCCUACGGGCCAAAGAGGGGGAUCUUCGGACCUCUCGCGUCAAGAUAUGCCUAGGUGGGAUUAGCUAGUUGGUGAGGUAAUGGCUCACCAAGGCGACGAUCCCUAGCUGGUCUGAGAGGAUGAUCAGCCACACUGGAACUGAGACACGGUCCAGACUCCUACGGGAGGCAGCAGUGGGGAAUAUUGCACAAUGGGCGAAAGCCUGAUGCAGCCAUGCCGCGUGUAUGAAGAAGGCCUUCGGGUUGUAAAGUACUUUCAGUUGUGAGGAAGGGNGUGUAGUUAAUNUGCUGNACAUCUUGACGUUAGCAACAGAAGAAGCACCGGCUAACUCCGUGCCAGCAGCCGCGGUAAUACGGAGGGUGCGAGCGUUAAUCGGAAUUACUGGGCGUAAAGCGCAUGCAGGUGGUUCAUUAAGUCAGAUGUGAAAGCCCGGGGCUCAACCUCGGAACUGCAUUUGAAACUGGUGAACUAGAGUGCUG